GAUGAACGCUGGCGGCGUGCCUAAUACAUGCAAGUCGAGCGAACGGACGAGAAGCUUGCUUCUCUGAUGUUAGCGGCGGACGGGUGAGUAACAGGUGGAUAACCUACCGAUAAGACUGGGAUAACUUCGGGAAACCGGAGCUAAUACCGGAUAAUAUUUUGAACCGCAUGGUUCAAAAGUGAAAGACGGUCUUGCUGUCACUUAUAGAUGGAUCCGCGCUGCAUUAGCUAGUUGGUAAGGUAACGGCUUACCAAGGCAACGAUGCAUAGCCGACCUGAGAGGAUGAUCGGCCACACUGGAACUGAGACACGGUCCAGACUCCUACGGGAGGCAGCAGUAGGGAAUCUUCCACAAUGGGCGAAAGCCUGACGGAGCAACGCCGCGUGAGUGAUGAAGGUCUUCGGAUCGUAAAACUCUGUUAUUAGGGAAGAACAGAUGUGUAAGUAACUGUGCACAUCUUGACGGUACCUAAUCAGAAAGCCACGGCUAACUACGUG
rnacentral:rRNA from 1 species